rnacentral:rRNA from 1 species
CGGUGUUUAACUGGCGUGAUGUGGGACGUCCUACCGGUGGGCUUAGCCUCGCGAGGGGCGGCCCAACUAAUAUCCCGUCGCGGUGCUCUUUACUGAGUGUCGAGUCGGGCCGGUACGUUUACUUUGAACAAAUUAGAGUGCUUAAAGCAGGCUAUCCUCGCCUGAAUACUGCGUGCAUGGAAUAAUGGAAUAGGACCUCGGUUCUAUUUUGUUGGUUUUCGGAACCCCGAGGUAAUGAUUAAUAGGGACAGAUGGGGGCAUUCGUAUUGCGACGUUAGAGGUGAAAUUCUUGGAUCGUCGCAAGACGGACAGAAGCGAAAGCAUUUGCCAAAAAUGUUUUCAUUAAUCAAGAACGAAAGUUAGAGGUUCGAAGGCGAUCAGAUACCGCCCUAGUUCUAACCAUAAACGAUGCCAGCUAGCGAUCCGCCGAAGUUCCUCCGAUGACUCGGCGGGCAGCUUCCGGGAAACCAAAGCUUUUGGGUUCCGGGGGAAGUAUGGUUGCAAAGCUGAAACUUAAAGGAAUUGACGGAAGGGCACCACCAGGAGUGGAGCCUGCGGCUUAAUUUGACUCAACACGGGAAACCUCACCAGGCCCAGACACCGGAAGGAUUGACAGAUUGAUAGCUCUUUCUUGAUUCGGUGGGUGGUGGUGCAUGGCCGUUCUUAGUUGGUGGAGCGAUUUGUCUGGUUAAUUCCGAUAACGAACGAGACUCUAGCCUGCUAAAUGGGCGUACCUUAUGGUAUCGCGAAGGCCCCCGGCUUCGGCCGGUGGGUUUUUACUACCAACGUACAAACAAAUCUUCUUAGAGGGACAGGCGG